GUGCUUGCUUUGGCAGCACCUCCACUACAAUUGGAAUGAUUUGGAGAAAAUUAACAUGACCCUUGGGUAAGGAUGACACACAAAUUUGUGAAGUGUUACAUAUUAAA
ensembl:snRNA U6 U6 spliceosomal RNA